UUAAGUUCAGCGGGUAGUCCUACUCGAUUUGAGGUCAAGUUGUCAGACAUUGUCCGAAGACGGUUUAUGAAGCACAGAGCUCCCAAUCGGCCACCCUCUUUCAAGGCGCCGGCGAAGACACUUAUCACGCCGUACUAUGUCCAAUCAAGAGGUGCACUAACAUAUUUCAGGUGAGCCUCAGUCAAGUGGCAACACCCAAG
rnacentral:misc_RNA from 1 species